rnacentral:rRNA from 1 species
UGAGGAAUAUUGCACAAUGGGCGCAAGCCUGAUGCAGCGACGCCGCGUGUGGGAUGAAGGGGCUACGCCUCGUAAACCACUGUAGCCCGGGACGAAAAACGCCUUAGAGGCGUUAGACGGUACCGGGAAAGUAAGGGUCGGCUAACUACGUGCCAGCAGCCGCGGUAAUACGUAGGGUGCAAGCGUUAAUCGGAAUUACUGGGCGUAAAGCGUGCGCAGGCGGUUUUGUAAGACAGAGGUGAAAUCCCCGGGCUCAACCUGGGAACUGCCUUUGUGACUGCAAAGCUGGAGUGCGGCAGAGGGGGAUGGAAUUCCGCGUGUAGCAGUGAAAUGCGUAGAUAUGCGGAGGAACACCGAUGGCGAAGGCAAUCCCCUGGGCCUGCACUGACGCUCAUGCACGAAAGCGUGGGGAGCAAACA